rnacentral:rRNA from 1 species
UACGGGGGGAGCAAGCGUUGUUCGGAUUUACUGGGCGUAAAGGGCGCGUAGGCGGUCAGUGCAAGUCAGUUGUGAAAUCUCCGGGCUUAACUCGGAAAGGUCAACUGAUACUGCUCGACUAGAGUGCGGAAGGGGCAACUGGAAUUCUUGGUGUAGCGGUGAAAUGCGUAGAUAUCAAGAGGAACACCUGAGGCGAAGGCGGGUUGCUAGGCUGACACUGACGCUGAGGCGCGAAAGCUAGGGUAGCAAACGGG